UCUAUAUUUUUUAUAAAUAGGUCGCGCAAGUUUUGUCACAGAAAUUAAGUGACGUAACCAAGGAGGAAAUAAGGAAACUAGUAUCUGAGGAUUCUGACGACGAUCCAGAAGCUGGUAGCAACGGUUAUGAACAGACGGAGAUAGACCAAAUUAAGGUACAUUAUUUGUCUUCAU